UGCCCGGAAUAAAAAGAGGCUCUAAAGUAGUAAUAAGGGCAGCCAGCGACCGCUGUCCACCCAACUCCACAGGAUUGAGCAGGGUCGCCCAGCCCGUGGAGGUCCACAGCCUUGGGUCUCAGCCUGGUUCCAGGCGGAUGCCUGCGUCCCUCGGUGUGGAAUGACCGUGUACCCCCGUCCCUCGCACGGCCGAGGAAACAGGCUCUCGAGGGAUCAUCUCGGUGGACAGCAAGCCCUGCGGCCGUCAGAGGUCCGCAUCCCAGACGCGCGCCCUGCGGGGCGUGAAGCCGGGGGAUUCCUCAAGGCGGCGGAUAGGCUCCGGGGAGCCGAGGGGUGGGCGUCGGCGCGGAGCCAGCAGGCCGGGCCCGCUGGACCCACGCCCUGAACCGCCAGCAGCCCGAGUCCCGGCAGGCGCGCGAGGCGGACGGGCCAGAAAACUCGGGGGUCCAGUGUCUAGUGGGCCGCUUUGGGCUUGCGCCCGCUCUCUGCCUGCAGUGCAGCCCCGCAUUGGUCAGCCCGGCGCCCCGCCCGGCUCCCGCGCGCCGAUUGGCCGCGGAUGCCCAACCCCCGGUGAGGGCGCUGAGGCGGAGAGUGGGAUUGGUGGUCCCGUCGUCCACGGGUCGGGGUCGCGGCCGCGCGCUCCGCCCGCCGCUGCGUCCCCACUAUGGCGGCGCCCAGGCGGCCCACCGCGACUUGGGCGCCCGCCGGGGUCCCCCGCGGCUGCCGCCGCCGCAUUCGCCGUCGCCCCCGCCUUCCCGGCAGCAUCGGGCCGGGCACCGCCUCCCCCCUUCCUCCCUCUCCGCUGCGGUUCCGCCUGGUCAUCCUGGUUGACAGAAGUUCCUUCCCUGUGAACUUCUGCACAACUUAUGUUAUUCUGAUUAAAUGUUACCUACUGCCUUGUCUUAUCAUUAUUAUGUCUAUAUGUCAGUAAAUUCCCCUUUUCCUUGAUGUUAGUUUUCUUUACAAAAUAAUGGAAAGAUGGCAUGUUUAUGUGUUUUUGACAUGACUUAAAACCCACAGAAACCUUG
rnacentral:lncRNA from 1 species